GACGAACGCUGGCGGCGUGCUUAACACAUGCAAGUCGAACGGAAAGGCCCUGCUUUUGUGGGGUGCUCGAGUGGCGAACGGGUGAGUAACACGUGAGUAACCUGCCCUUGACUUUGGGAUAACUUCAGGAAACUGGGGCUAAUACCGGAUAGGAGCUCCUGCUGCAUGGUGGGGGUUGGAAAGUUUCGGCGGUUGGGGAUGGACUCGCGGCUUAUCAGCUUGUUGGUGGGGUAGUGGCUUACCAAGGCUUUGACGGGUAGCCGGCCUGAGAGGGUGACCGGCCACAUUGGGACUGAGAUACGGCCCAGACUCCUACGGGAGGCAGCAGUGGGGAAUAUUGCACAAUGGGCGGAAGCCUGAUGCAGCAACGCCGCGUGCGGGAUGACGGCCUUCGGGUUGUAAACCGCUUUCGCCUGUGACGAAGCGUGAGUGACGGUAAUGGGUAAAGAAGCACCGGCUAACUACGUGCCAGCAGCCGCGGUGAUACGUAGGGUGCGAGCGUUGUCCGGAUUUAUUGGGCGUNAAGGGCUCGUAGGUGGUUGAUCGCGUCGGAAGUGUAAUCUUGGGGCUUAACCCUGAGCGUGCUUUCGAUACGGGUUGACUUGAGGAAGGUAGGGGAGAAUGGAAUUCCUGGUGGAGCGGUGGAAUGCGCAGAUAUCAGGAGGAACACCAGUGGCGAAGGCGGUUCUCUGGGCCUUUCCUGACGCUGAGGAGCGAAAGCGUGGGGAGCGAACAGGCUUAGAUACCCUGGUAGUCCACGCUGUAAACGGUGGGUACUAGGUGUGGGGUCCAUUCCACGGGUUCCGUGCCGUAGCUAACGCUUUAAGUACCCCGCCUGGGGAGUACGGCCGCAAGGCUAAAACUCAAAGGAAUUGACGGGGCCCCGCACAAGCGGCGGAGCAUGCGGAUUAAUUCGAUGCAACGCGUAGAACCUUACCUGGGUUUGACAUGGAUCGGGAGCGCUCAGAGAUGGGUGUGCCUCUUUUGGGGUCGGUUCACAGGUGGUGCAUGGCUGUCGUCAGCUCGUGUCGUGAGAUGUUGGGUUAAGUCCCGCAACGAGCGCAACCCUUGUUCACUGUUGCCAGCACGUUAUGGUGGGGACUCAGUGGAGACCGCCGGGGUCAACUCGGAGGAAGGUGGGGAUGACGUCAAGUCAUCAUGCCCCUUAUGUCCAGGGCUUCACGCAUGCUACAAUGGCCGGUACAGAGAGUGGCGAGCCUGUGAGGGUGAGCGAAUCUCGGAAAGCCGGUCUCAGUUCGGAUUGGGGUCUGCAACUCGACCUCAUGAAGUCGGAGUCGCUAGUAAUCGCAGAUCAGCAACGCUGCGGUGAAUGCGUUCCCGGG
rnacentral:rRNA from 1 species